rnacentral:rRNA from 1 species
CCUACGGGAGGCAGCAGUGAGGAAUAUUGGUCAAUGGACGAGAGUCUGAACCAGCAACGUAGCGUGAAGGAUGACUGCCCUAUGGGUUGUAAACUUCUUUUAUAUGGGAGUAAAAUGUUCCACGUGUGGGAUUUUGUAUGUACCCUAUGAAUAAGGCUCGGCUAACUCCGUGCCAGCAGCCGCGGUAAUACGGAGGAUCCGAGCGUUAUCCGGAUUUAUUGGGUGUAAAGGUAGAGUAGGUGGAUUGUUAAGUCAGUUGUGAAAGUCUGCGGCUCAACCGUAAAAUUGCAGAUGAAACUGGCAGUCUUGAGUACAGGAGAGGUGGGCGGAAUUCGUGGUGUAGCGGUGAAAUGCGUAGAUAUCACGAAGAACUCCGAUUGCGAAGGCAGUUCACUGGACUGCAACUGACACUGAGGCUCGAAAGUGUGGGUAUCAAACAGGAUUAGAUACCCGGGUAGUC